CCUUCUUCAGCCCAGCAUGUGUUGCAAUAGUAUUUAAAAGGGUGAAAGAACAAAGAACUAUAACUUUGCCAUGCAGAAAUGUUUACAACUAAAAUACGAGUCUCCAAGUAUAAGACAUUUCUCAAACCUCAAAUCCAUCAAUAUCCCUGAUUCGAGUUCUUUGGAGGUACACUUAUCCACCUUCUUUUCAACAAUUGGUGACAGCAAAAGCUGAGGAUAUCAGGAUAAUGAAAGAAACAGCCUCCCAUUACCAAAGACAAGGAAACAAUAUUGCUUUACAUUGAACAGUCUGGAUGAAUGUCCUACAUGAGAAAUUAACCACACACCCACGCACC